GCCCUGCUGGCGCAAUGGUAGCGCGCAAGACUUCUACAUAUGCUUUCUCUGAAGCUAAAUCUUGAGGUUGUGGGUUCGAGCCCCACGUGGGGUG